CAGCCUCCUGCUGCGGCGGUCACUCACCUUCCGCGCGCGAGCGGAUCUCCGACACUGUCCUCCGCAUGGUCGGCAUCUCGACAGCCCCUGCAGCAGAGCUGUGACUGUGGAGCCAUCAAGGCUGAGAGGACAGAGAAGCCACCGGCUGCUGCUCAGAACUCGGAAGGAACUGUGGACACUGCCAGGUGGUUCUUGUGGGUAAAACUAUCUUUGAAUCCUCUCAAGAAAUCUGAAGAUGGCUUGUGGUCUGCAUUCUUCUUGGAUACCUACGACAGGUAAGGUACUCAUUCCAUUGAGUGUUAGCGGAGAUUCCUGAUAGUCCCACAGACGCUCUCGUCCUCUUCCAGACUAGUCUGCCAGGGUCCUUUGCUGUGCCAAAGUAACUCCGUAUGCCUAACUCUGAGAGGUCCUGACACACCCCAAGGCAUGGGUUAAAAUACUGAAAGUGGGCCAUUGUCUUAGUCCACUGUUGAGAUUCCAUGGCAUAUGAGGCCAUUUCCCUUAUUAACAUGCAAAAGUGGUUUACAUUAAGUCAAGGAGAUUCCUGGAGACCUGCUUAAUAAGGUGAUUAAAUCUCAGAUAGUAUUUAUUAAGCCAUAAUAAUAAUAAUAAUAAUAAUAAUAAUAAAUAAUUCCUUGUACUAUCAGAAAAUGAUACUAUUCUUGCUGUUUACCUUUGACUAAACUAGAGAAACACAACAUUUUCAGAGGGUUUCUUAGUGUCUCUUAAUCUUUACCCACAAGAUGCAAAUAAGUUGUGACUUAAUACACUCUGGCAUCUCUGGAUGUGUCAUUACAACGUUGGUAUUUUUAUUAAGUCCCUAAAAUGCAUGUGUAAAUGAAUUAUUGAAAUUACAUAGAUCUAUAAGCUUCAGUAUGUAAAAUUCCCCUUUUGCAUUUCAUAGCUGUUUGCUUGUCUGUGUAUUUCUAGAUGAUUUGUUAUACCAUUACUGGAGCCAAUUCUUCUAAUACCUAUAAUGCAUUUUGUUAUUUAUCUCCAAAAUUCCUACUUGGAAGCCCUAACCUAUAGCACAGUGGGAUAUGACCUUAUUUCGAGGUAGAGCCAUGACAGAUGUAAUUAAGAUAAGGCCAUAUUGGAAUUGGAAUCUCUAACUUAGUAUGGAUGGUGUUCCUUUCAGUAUGGGCGGUGUUCUUACAUAGCCAAAAAUUUUAGAAAGAAUCACAUGUACAAAGAAAACACCAAGUGCCUCCAGUGAAGGCCACCUAUAAUCAGAAAGCCACCAGAGGUCAGAGCACCAGGUCUCUUGCACUCUCAGAGGUUUCCAGUCUUGAGAAUCUUAAUAAUGCUGUUGUUUAGUCCACUUGAGUUAAGGACAGUGCUAUGACAGCUUUAACAACCUAAUACAAUUACUAUCACUUAAUUCAAAUGGGACAGGAUAGCUUGGUUGAGUCAUCUCUCCAGCCCCCAAAUGUAUAUAGGCCAGGCUGGUCUUAAACUGUCUCUGUCUCUUUCAGAAAAUCUUACUAGCAAGCACCCCCACAACCAGAGGAGCUGGAGGGAAUGGAGGGAAUGGAGGACACAAGGAGAACACAACACACAGAAUCAACUAAGCAGGGCUCAUAGUGGCACUCACGGAGCCUCCAUGGGUCUGUGCUAGGUCCCCCGAGAGUACGUUAUGAUUGUUAGCUUGGUGUUUUGGUACUCCCACUUCUAACAGUGGGAGUGAGGGAAUCUCUGACUCUUUUUAUCUUCUCUUGGGACCCUUUUUCCUCCUACUGGGUUGUCUUACCCAGUCCUGAUUGAGGGUUUGUGUCUAGUCUUAUUGUAACUUGUUAUGCUGUGUUUAGUUGAUACUCCUGGGAGGCUUGGUCUUUUCUGAAGGGAAAUUGAGGAGGAAUGGAUCUGUGGGAGAGGGGAGGUGGGUGGGGGAACUGGGAGGAAUGGAGAGGGAGGAAACUGCAGUUGGGAUGUAUUAUAUGAGUUAAGAAUAAAACAAAAUACACAUCUCUAUAGUUUAUUUUCGUUUCAUCUGGGACAUUUGAUUAAAGAGCCAUUUUCAAGCUGCUAUGGGUUUUAGGAGAUUAAAGCCAAAUGUACCAUAUAUCCCAAGAAGGAUUGGAUGCUGUGUACUAAUGACCCUUAAGGUUAAGUGUUUAAAGAACCAUUUUGAAUUCUACAU
ensembl:antisense Gm15477 predicted gene 15477